AUCCAGCUGAUGAGUUCCAUGUAGGAUGAAACGCACGUCCUGGAU
rnacentral:hammerhead_ribozyme from 1 species